rnacentral:sRNA from 1 species
CAAAAAGACCGCAAAACCGUUAGGAGGGAAGCGAAUGCAGCUGAAGUAGUUCUCUUCCAGGCUCAGGAGGCGUUGUCUCGUUCUGCUGGCUGGCGGAAACCGUUAGGUGUCGGCAGUCGGACGGGCGGGCAACCAAUCUGCACUCCUGGAGAGAGCUGGCCAACGACAGUUGUCUCUGGCUCACAAGGGCGGUUGGGUAGGUAGCUCCUCCCUCCAGAGGAGAACUAAUUGCCAGCCGUCUGGCAGACUGGACACGACUGAGGAGAGUUGCGAACUUUCGCACGUGCAGUGUAGGCCCUUCUGGGCCGGGGCACCUCUAUCCGCUUGGGCACCGCUCUGGGGACUGCUUGCAGUGUCCAGUGACGAAUGUCUGCUCGGUUGGGGGGAAGUCCACUCCUUGCACUGCAGUCGUUGGUGUCCAAAUGGCUGCAUCCGA